GUCCUUAUUCACAUUCCGUUGGAGGAGACAACACAUACUGAAGGCCUCAACUGCAAAUUUAGAUGGAAAAGUCCUACGGUCCUCAGAGUGCAAGCAGCAAAGUGGACGUGCCAAGGACUUUCAUGGAGAAAUCUUCCUCUUCUGAGUCUUUGACUGGGGCUAAGGCUGGGGGUGUAGUCCCCUCACAAGCAGUUGCCAGGCUGCAUCUUCACAUGGGUUGCUUCUUGACAAAAUGGUGGCCAGAAACAGAACCAGUCUGAAGGAAGCUGCCACUCCUGAGGCUCUGGGACUAUGUACCUAGCAGUGGGAUAUCUACUCAAAGGGUAUGGGCAUAGUCAUCAAAGUCCAGUGGCAAGACAAAAGUCAAGGUGACCGGAGAUGGCCCAGGAUAUAGUGGAUGACCUCAGCAUCUCUGAUAUCUGACCAGGCUCUAAGCUCUCCCCAGAGCCUUCUUCAGCCGCCUUCAUGGCUGUCAGAACAAAUUAUUCUCAUCUGCCCAUUCUGCCAGGGGAAGUGCUUGGGGUGGAUAUCCCCAUUCUAUGAUGGGUUUGAGGCCCUUUGAUUACCUCAACCAGCUAUAAACUGUCUGCCAAGAAGGCAUUAUGUGGGUGUGGCUGCUGUUUAUGUUAAAGCUUCUUGGAGCCAAAGGUGACGAUUGAGUGCCAGGUGGACACCAAAGGUGGAUGAGCAGCUGGCAAGCCCUCACACCGGAGGUGCCAGUCUUCCUGAACACUCUAUACACCCCAACACUCAUGGGAUGGUUUGAGGCUAGAGAUGAAUGGCAAAUGUACUGUCUAAAAUUUUAUUAAUAACUUGAAUAUCAUGUAUGUGUCUGUAUAUAAUACAUUUAU